AGUGAGAUAGCUGGGUCAAAUGGUGGUUCUAUUCCUAGUUUUCCAAGAAAUCUCCAUGCUAUUUUCUAUAUUGGCUGCACCAAUUUGCAGUUCCACCAGCAAU
rnacentral:pre_miRNA from 1 species